rnacentral:rRNA from 1 species
GACAGAGGGUGCAAACGUUGUUCGGAAUUACUGGGCGUAAAGCGCGUGUAGGUGGCGAGGCAAGUCGGGUGUGAAAGCCCUGGGCUCAACCCAGGAAGUGCACUCGAUACUGCCUAGCUAGAGUCCCGGAGAGGUUGGUGGAACUCUCGGUGUAGAGGUGAAAUUCGUAGAUAUCGAGAAGAACACCGGUGGCGAAGGCGGCCAACUGGACGGUGACUGACACUGAGACGCGAAAGCGUGGG